rnacentral:lncRNA from 1 species
AAAAAAUCUUUUUAUUUCUAUUUUUUUGGGUCUGAGGACAUGCCUCAAGAUAGAAGAAAAUGAAGGAAAGUAAAAUAUCAAGGUCAGGGGUAGCAGAUGUACCCUCAUUGCUGUCGUAGAGAGAGAACGACAAGCGAGUAGCUGGCAGGGAGCCCAGAAACCCGAGGUUGACACUCCUAGCAUUAUUUCAUAGCAAGCCUAAAAUGCUGACAUGAGUGAGAAGCCUCCAGCAGCACCAAACCAAUAAAAGCAGUUAUGUUUCUGAGUAAAAGUUAUCUGACCAGAAUCUUGAAGUGAAUAGUUCCUGUGUUUCUCAUCAAGAGAGAAAAGGUGUAUCAGCAUUUCCGCUGCUGCUUGUGCUGAUAAAGCUUCCUGAACACACACACCAAGUAGAAAUCACUUGGUGACACGUUCACUGGGGCACUCCGCCAAGGAAGUCUAGAUGGGCAGGACGGUGUGCUGCAGAUGGCCCCACUACCCAGCGGGUCCAAUGGACAAUUCGAACGUGGUUUGAGAGAGACGUGGGGAGAAUUCUCUCCCCUGAAAUGUAUGGAGCAAGCUAGUACUUCUAAGAAUUUGCUACUGAAAGAC